AAUUUCCCUAUUUUCCCGUUAUUUAUUAUUCAUGCCUAUUUUUAUUAUUUCCUAUGACAUUAUGCUUGCUUUAUUUUUCCUAAGAUCUCUGGACUCGUGAAUUUUUAUUAACUCUUCAUAUAUAUAUAUAUAAAUAUAUAAAAUAUGCAUUAUUAUUAACUCUCCAUUUUGUUUUAUUUUGUUUUAUUUUGUUUUAUUUUAC
rnacentral:lncRNA from 1 species